GCCGGAAUAGCUCAGUCGGUAGAGCAACUGAUUCGUAAUCAGUAGGUCGGAGGUUCGAUUCCUCUUUCCGGCACCA
rnacentral:tRNA from 18 species